AAUUCGCGUCGUAAAUUUACAAGUACCUAUUGUGUCUAAAUGUCAAAGAUCCGAAAGACUCGACUCGAGAGGAACCGGCCCAAACCCGACCCAAAAAUCCGAACUCCAAAACCUAUUUAAGAAUGUCAAAAUAAAUCAAAAUUUAUAAACUAAUCCAGCUCGGCUCGGAUUUUUACGAGUACGAGUGAUGUUUUCUAAAUUUAUUUAACGAUCGAAACUUGAUUUAACUUGUGAAUUAUAUUAGUUUAUGAAUUUGAUCUUUUUAGAGUUACAUUCACAUAAUAGUCUGUACAUAUACAUAUACGCUAGGUUUUUUUUGAGUCAUGAUUAACGGGCGCUGAUACCAAUGACAUAGCGUAAAACAUCCUUCCCAACGGAAAUCGAACUAGGGGUGCAAUAGAACUAUUCCAAGCACUAAACCAUUAGCUCCAACUUACCGUCGGUAUGCUAGGUUUUUCCAAUGUUGGUUUUAUAUUUUUGUAUAAGCAUGUGUAGCGUCUACUCACGAGAUUACAUGGUUCGUUCAUUACGAUGCUAUGUUUUUCUUAUCUUCCAAGUUGUUUCAUUACUAUAUUUCUGUUCACUGGUUACCACCAUUUUGUACAUAAACAUCUUUGUUAAACUGCGCGAACAUGAGAGAGUAUGUUCUUCAGUACCAUAAUGCGAGAAAGAUUAUGGAUUUGCUUGAUAAAGGGGAAAAGUUGAUUGGUAACAUCUAUUACUACAACACUUUCCUCACGCCUGCAACCAUCUUCAAGCUCGACAGGGACAUCCGCAAGACCGCAACAUCAUCACCUCCUGUCGACAUAAACAAAGCUUCCACAACUUAAUGACGGUAUGGAAUUAUGGAUUAGAUGAUCCCAAUCUUCUUCUUCCACCUAUCUACGUACUGCUUCUCUUGUUUUUUUCUUCUUGUUUUUUUUGGCAGAAAAAAAUAGUUCUACCUCUUUGCUUUGUAAAAUUAAACUUUUCAUUUUUAAAUGAUAUUUACAUUUAGCAGCCAAAAAAAUUAUUACUGCAUCGAUAAGAAAAUUUAUAAUGAAACGUUGAGGUCAUAUUAGUCUGAGAGCUGUGUAGCCAUCAUGUUUCAGAGUUGGACUAAUCAUUGUAAAUCUUGAGAUUUUCGACGCUUAGAAACUAAGGUGGAUACAUUGUCUUAUAAAUUUUGAUAUAGAACAAAUAAUUCUGAAACUUUGUUUUAAUAUUGUAUAUUACACGGGAAAAGACAACAAAUAAAACAUACUGCAAUUAAAAUCUGUGGGUGGUAUUGGAGGAUGCUGCAUGCCAUUGAUUUCAUUAUCUUUAUUUUCAUGAUUUAUAGCUUUGUAUCUCUCUUAUACAAAGAAAAUUAAUAAACCACAUGUGAUAAGGAUUGGAUUCUUGUCAGUGUAUUCGACGAUCAAGAUAGCUAGCGAUUUGCUGUUUCUCAUUGAGCAUUUGUGUCCGAACGAUGGAGAUUCUUGAUGAUUAGCUCGAGAUUUUCCCUCAACAUAAUUAAUUUGAGCUAAUAAUCAUAUGUUUUGUCUUUGUGAUUUGCAAAAGGAUACGAAUGUCAUGAAAGUGCUUCCUCGUGAUUUUGGAUAUACAGUUUCAUUAGGUUAAUUGUUAUUAUAGGAUUCACACUCGUUUUUUAAUUUAACAAUGGCGCUUCUUUUAAAGUUGUUUGUACAAUUUCAAAUGGGGAUGAAAGAAGAAAACAUGUAAGCUUACUAAAAAUUUAGCUUUGAUUUGACAUAAACAAAUGAGUUUCUUAUCAAAUGGUAAGGUACUGAACUUCUUGUAAACUUUGAAAUAUAGUAUAUAAGAGUUCUUUUGAAAACCCAUGAUUACAAGUACUCAAACAAUUCAAAUUUUCCACAAUCAAAAUACAUAUAUAUCCAAUCAAAACUCAAAGUAUAUUAAAACAAAACAACUAAAAAGAUAGCUUUUGCUCAAAAAACAAGAAAAAAGAUAGCUAAGAGCACCAUUAACGCACCCCAAAUGGGUGAUUAAUUUUUUUUUUUUUUUUUCUUCUGAUUUUUUUAAAAAAAAUUAAAAACAAACCAAUCGCGGGCCGCCACGUAUCAGUGGGGCCCGCGAAACAGUGCUAGCACCGGUGCUUAAUUAAACAGAAUAAGCACAGGUGCUUAGUUUUUGUGUGGAUCCCAUCCGCUAUUAUAUUAAUUUUUUGCUAAGCACUCCCCUCUAAGCACCUCCAUUAACCAUGCUCUAAGAAAUCUGAACAACAACCUUUUUUGAAAAAUCAAGAAAAAAGAAGG